AAUUUUGGACAAUGGGGGAAACCCUGAUCCAGCCAUCCCGCGUGUAUGAUGAAGGCCUNCGGGUUNUNAAGUACUUUUGGCAGAGNCAAAAAGGUAUCUCCUAAUACGAGAUCAUGCUGACGGUAUCUGCAGAAUAAGCACCGGCUACCUACGUGCCAGCAGCCGCGGUAAUACGUAGGGUGCAAGCGUUAAUCGGAAUUACUGGGCGUAAAGCAUGUGUAAGCGGAUCGGAAAGAAAGAAUUGGAAACCCAGGGCUCAACCUUGGAACUGCAUUUUUAACUGCCGAGCUAGAGUAUGUCGGAGGGAGGUAGAAUUCCACGUGUAACAGUGAAAUGCGUAGAUAUGUGGAGGAAUACCGAUGGCGAAGGCAGCCCCCUGGGAUAAUACUGACGCUCAGACACGAAAGCGUGGGGAGCAAACA
rnacentral:rRNA from 1 species